rnacentral:rRNA from 1 species
AUUGAACGCUGGCGGCAGGCCUAACACAUGCAAGUCGAGCGAGCGGCGGACGGGUGAGUAAUGUAUGGGGAUCUGCCCGAUAGAGGGGGAUAACUACUGGAAACGGUGGCUAAUACCGCAUACUAUCGGAUGAACCCAUAUGGGAUUAGGUAGUUGGUGAGGUAAAGGCUCACCAAGCCGACGAGCUCUAGCUGGUCUGAGAGGAUGACCAGCCACACUGGGACUGAGACACGGCCCAGACUCCUACGGGAGGCAGCAGUGGGGAAUAUUGCGCAAUGGGGGCAACCCUGACGCAGCCAUGCCGCGUGAAUGAAGAAGGCCUUCGGGUUGUAAAGCACUUUCAGCGAGGAGGCGUUACUCGCAGAAGAAGCACCGGCUAACUCCGUGCCAGCAGCCGCGGUAAUAC